GAAAAAAAUUGGUUUACAUAAAUUAAAUCAAGAAAGAAAUUCAGACAUACUUGGUGAUAGAAAUACAAAUGCUGGACUGCUAUUUUAUGACAAGAAACUGAAAAUCUGCUAGGAUGCUCAAAGAAUGGAGAAUCCAUUCCAGAUCACUUCCACACAUACUCACCACCAACACCGAAGAUUGCUGACAAGAAUGAAAAAACAUGAGCCUUCAUUUGCUAAGGCUGCUGUGAUUUGUCACUUCCUCCCUCCCCCCAGGACCCACUUCCUGUAACUGUCUCUACAGGUUACACCUUCCAUCUUUACAGAUGUCUGCUCAGGCCAGUGGUUCUCUGUAGGAACAUAGAUAUGACCCCCAUAUGACUGUCUGCUACAUUGCUAGGAAUGG
ensembl:lncRNA